AUACGGGGGAUACGAGCGUUAUCCGGAUUUAUUGGGUUUAAAGGGUGCGCAGGCGGACCGGUAAGUCAGGGGUGAAAAGUCGGGGCUCAACUCCGAUCGUGCCUUUGAUACUGCCGGACUGGAGUGCGAUAGGCGUGGCCGGAAUGUGGUUUGUAGCGGUGACAUGCUUAGAUAUGCCACAGAACACCGAUCGAGAAGUCAGGUCACGAGUUCGCAACUGACGCUCAUGCACGAAAGCGUGGGGAUCAAACAGGAUUAGAUACCCUGGUAGUCCACGCUGUAAACGAUGAUCACUCGUUGUUGGGGGGUGACCCUCAGCGGCCAAGCGAAAGCGAUAAGUGAUCCACCUGGGGAGUACGAUCGCAAGGUUAAAACUCAAAUGAAUUGACGGGG
rnacentral:rRNA from 1 species